GUAGGAUUCGAACGUUAUCCGGAUUUAUUGGGCGUAAAGCGCGUGCAGGCGGUUUGGUAAGUUGGAUGUGAAAGCUCCGGGCUUAACCCGGAGAGGUCGUUCAAAACUACCAGACUAGAGGACGGUAGAGGGAGGUGGAAUUCCGGGUGUAGUGGUGAAAUGCGUAGAUAUCCGGAGGAACACCAGUGGCGAAGGCGGCCUCCUGGGCCGUUCCUGACGCUAAGACGCGAAAGCUAGGGUAGCAAACGGGAUUAGAAACCCCGGUAGUCCUAGCUGUAAACGAUGUAGACUUGGUGUUGGUGGUGUAAAAGCCUUCAGUGCCCGUAGCUAACGCGAUAAGUCUACCCGCCUGGGGAUUACGGCCGCAAGGUUA
rnacentral:rRNA from 1 species